rnacentral:rRNA from 1 species
UACGUAGGGUGCGAGCGUUGUCCGGAAUUAUUGGGCGUAAAGGGCUCGUAGGCGGUUUGUCGCGUCGGGAGUGAAAACACCGGGCUUAACUCGGUGCUUGCUUUCGGUACGGGCAGACUAGAGGUAUGCAGGGGAGAACGGAAUUCCUGGUGUAGCGGUGAAAUGCGCAGAGAUCAGGAGGAACACCGAUGGCGAAGGCAGCUCUCUGGGUCGGCCCUGACGCUGAGGCGCGAAAGCGUGGGGAGCGAACGGG